rnacentral:rRNA from 1 species
AUUGAACGCUGGCGGCAUGCCUUACACAUGCAAGUCGAACGGCAGCACGGGAGUAAUCCUGGUGGCGAGUGGCGAACGGGUGAGUAAUAUAUCGGAACGUGCCCAGUCGUGGGGGAUAACGUAGCGAAAGCUACGCUAAUACCGCAUACGAUCUAUGGAUGAAAGCGGGGGAUCGCAAGACCUCGCGCGAUUGGAGCGGCCGAUAUCAGAUUAGGUAGUUGGUGAGGUAAAGGCUCACCAAGCCGACGAUCUGUAGCUGGUCUGAGAGGACGACCAGCCACACUGGGACUGAGACACGGUCCAGACUCCUACGGGAGGCAGCAGUGGGGAAUUUCCGCAAUGGGCGAAAGCCUGACGGAGCAAUACCGCGUGAGGGAAGAAAGCCUACU